GUGCUGCUUCAGCAGCACAUAUACUAAAAUUUGAAUAAUACAGCAAGUAUUAGCAUGGCCCCUGUGCGAGGAUGACACACAAAUUCGUGAAACAUUCCAUAUUUUU
rnacentral:snRNA from 1 species